ensembl:lncRNA
GCGCUGAUGGACGUAGGAAGUGUUACAAACAGCUGAUGGAUCGGCGAAGCGUGUUUCUGGAAUAUCAUGUUUUUGUUGCUGCAAGUGAUUUUUAUGCAGUUUUUGCAAAGCUAUAUGUGGAAGGAAACUGUGACCUAGGACAAGCUGAUGGCAUAAGAUUUCAAUAGUUGUGGUAUGAGCUGGAAAAGCAGAGCAGUCCAGAUGUCCUUUUCACCUGGGGAAAACAUGCUAAGACGGUCCCUGGCCGAAUGAGGGCAAAAACUCCGCCCCUACCUGAUAAUAAGCUGAUCACACCUGCGAGAGAUCCCAGAGAGGCCAAUAAGAGGGCCUGGCAGACCAAAGGAAGGGGUUCGACCGAGAGGCAAGAGAGGACUGAAGCAUGAAGGCACCCAUGAGUGUCACGGGAACCCACGAGAGCCUGGAGUGACACGGAGGCUUAAGAGAUGAGGCCUGAGAGGCCUGACGUGAGGCUUCAGGGUGAAGUCACAGAGGCGUGACACAUGGCGUGGGACAUGAGGCCUGACAUGAGGUUUGAGAGCGACACGAAAAGAGUGACACAUAAGACAGUUGGAGCUUGGCGUUCCAGAGAGCACGAUACAGCACCAGCAACUAGGCACGUGGAGCGAACAGUUGGACGGCAGUAGCAACAAGAGCCCAGCUUGUGCACUGCGGGAGAGCAGAGGUGGCAAGACAGCUGGUGCCAAUUUGCAGUUUUAAAGAAGCGGCGGGCGGAGUUGAGAGCUCUGCCCACCCGGGGUAAGUCUUCGACUUAUCCCCUUUUUACGAAUGAAAACUGCCUGAAAAGAAUAGUGACUGCCACUCCCUCCCUUUCUUCAGCGUACCGGGACGCGGAAUGUGGGGAGGAAGGCGAGGACUCCGCUGGGUUUCCCUUUUAUAUCACUUCGCUGGAUUUCUUAGCUCCCUGGGACUUUUAGGUCGUGGCGCAGGCCACUGGACUUUUAAUGUUGUGUUUUAUUGAUUUUUAUUGUGUUACCCCUUGGCCAACCCCUUUUUUUAAUUCAUUUUACAUUUUUAACUAUUUACAGUGGGGCAAAAAAGUAUUUAGUCAGCCACCGAUUGUGCAAGUUCCCCCACCU